UAUAUAUGUCAUACAUGUAUGACAUCAUCACAUUAAGCUUUAGUUGAACCCCUGAUGUAAGUAGACGCCCAAAAGAAAAAUGAUUAACCAGUGGAAUCUAACAUGAGGAGAUAUUUUGUUGGAAACAGGAUUCAUUGCAGAAGUCAUUAAGAGGUAGAAAUCCAGUAGUUUGAGUCAUCUCCAGAAUGCUAUUUCAUCAUCCAGCGCUUCACACUGAAUGAAUUUUAUCCACAUUUGCUGUAGAUCAAAUUUCAUUUUUCAUCUCAAAUGGCUGGAUGCAAUGAGAUACAACCAUAGACUACUUUGAUACAGCUAAAAAACCAUACGAUCCACGAGUUGUAGAUGUGAUACAACUUGUAAAUAUAUGCAUACAUACCUCA